rnacentral:rRNA from 1 species
CUACGGGGGGCUGCAGUGGGGAAUAUUGCACAAUGGGCGCAAGCCUGAUGCAGCCAUGCCGCGUGUAUGAAGAAGGCCUUCGGGUUGUAAAGUACUUUCGGCGGGGAGGAAGGGAGUAAAGUUAAUACCUUUGCUCAUUGACGUUACCCGCAGAAGAAGCACCGGCUAACUCCGUGCCAGCAGCCGCGGUAAUACGGAGGGUGCAAGCUUUAAUCGGAAUUACUGGGCGUAAAGCGCACGCAGGCGGUUUGUUAAGUCAGAUGUGAAAUCCCCGGGCUCAACCUGGGAACCGCAUCUGAUACUGGCAAGCUUGAGUCUCGUAGAGGGGGGUAGAAUUCCAGGUGUAGCGGUGAAAUGCGUAGAGAUCUGGAGGAAUACCGGUGGCGAAGGCGGCCCCCUGGACGAAGACUGACGCUCAGAUGCGAAAGCGUGGGGAGCAAACAGGAUUAGAUACCCUGGUAGUC